rnacentral:rRNA from 1 species
UACGGGGGGGGGCAAGCGUUUGUUCGGAAUUACUGGGCGUAAAGGGCUCGUAGGUGGCCAACUAAGUCGGACGUGAAAUCCCUCGGCUUAACCGGGGAACUGCGUCUGAUACUGGAUGGCUUGAGUUCGGGAGAGGGAUGCGGAAUUCCAGGUGUAGCGGUGAAAUGCGUAGAUAUCUGGAGGAACACCGGUGGCGAAGGCGGCAUCCUGGACCAACACGUGACACUGAGGAGCGAAAGCCAGGGGAGCAAACGGG